UACGUAGGGUGCGAGCGUUGUCCGGAAUUAUUGGGCGUAAAGAGCUCGUAGGCGGUUUGUCGCGUCUGCCGUGAAAGUCCGGGGCUCAACUCCGGAUCUGCGGUGGGUACGGGCAGACUAGAGUGAUGUAGGGGGAGACUGGAAUUCCUGGUGUAGCGGUGAAAUGCGCAGAUAUCAGGAGGAACACCGGUGGCGAAGGCGGUUCUCUGGGCAUUACCUGACGCUGAGGAGCGAAAGUGUGGGGAGCGAACAGG
rnacentral:rRNA from 1 species